ensembl:lncRNA
CCGCCGCCCUCUCCGCCGCUAAUUGGGCCCCUGAAACUGCCGCCGGCUCGGUAAUUGUGCCGUUGUGUCUGAAUUUGCACUUCACUGCUUCACCCCCCCGCGAUUGGAAUUCAUACGGGGGGCUCGGGGGGGGGGUCCGCAGCGUCCCGCUCCAUCUCCGCGUGAGGGGACUGUGGUUUUGAUGCAAAUAGCUUUUAGUUUGCUUCCUGUCUCCGUCUUUUCCCUCUCACCAAUAAUUGAUGGGGAGUUUAGGGAGAGCGCGAGCAGCGUGGUGAAAUAAGAAAAGGGUGAAGUGAUAUUACCAUAAGUGAGCCGGGUACUUCUUCAGUCUCUAACUGUCAAACUGCAAGAAAACAGUGGAAAGACAACAAAGACAAGCAAAGUUUGUUCCUGAGUAAUUAGCGAGGUAAAAUUAGCCCGUCGGUGGAGUCUUGCCGCUUUGAAGCGGCGCCAUUUCCUUUUCACAUCUAAAUCGCGUGUCAAAUUUUCAUCGCUGCCGUUCGGCGACGGCGCUUUUGUUUCACUCAAGGCGGAUCUGGUCGCUCGUGUGCCAAAGCGAACCUUUUGACUGGUUAAUGGCGAAUGAGAUGCAUCAACGCGGCGCUAAUUAUCGAUGACAGACAUAUUCUGCUGUCUCUCUCUCUCCGAUAACGCCACCACCCACUGUGUGUGCACACGGGCAGCCGGAGCCGCAUUCCAACACUUCUGCUCACACGAUUUUAGCCGAGCGCCGGCGUUGCCUCUGGAUUUUGGCCUCUUCACUUGUUGGCAAAUAAAGCAGCGCAUUGUUAACGUUUCCUUCCUCUGUCACUUGUUUUUCCUUUUCUUUCUUUCACGGCGCGUGAUUCACACGCCUCCAUUGCAACAUUUGUGCCUCCAUGUUUCCAUCUAAUUACUUCGGGCACGAAACCGAAUUGGCUUCACUCAUGGAACAUUGUGUGGUUGUUGCUUUUUUAAAAAAAGGUACUAAGCCAAGAUCAUGAAUCCGCUGACCUGAAACCUCCACUGAGAGGUACGACUCACCGCACUACACUUCCCUUUGACCUUUUCAAUACAAUACUUUAAAUCCCUUUAAUAUUGCUAAGCCAAUAUUUUUGCAGCCUGUAUUAGUAUUAGUUCACUUUUAUAAGUGAAUAAAACUGUUUGAGCAUUUCCAAUUGAGUUACUGUCAAAAGCAUUUGGUUUGGUAUCAACAUCCCAACUUCCUGUCAAUGGGUAAGAAACAACCCACAUAUCAAAUAAAGUCUGAUCCCCCCCCAAAAAAAAUCUUUUAAUGAGACCAAAUCCUUUUAACUCAUAGCCUAACUGCCAGUGUUAUGAAUACAAUCGUGUGUGUGUGUGUGUGUGUGUGUGUGUGUGUGUGUGUAGGGGGCUCACAGCAGUACAACAGGAAGAGCAGCAGUUUCCUCAGGAGGACGAAUCACAUCAAAGACAUCAAAAAACAUGCAGAGUCGACAUCAGACCGAGUGAGGAUCACCUCACAAGAACCAACCACACGCUCACGUCCUCAGAUUCUAUUAAAGCUGAACUGCAAUUGAACUGUAAAUUAAGAAAUCUUUGUGUCUGAUAUAUUGCACCUGACAGACUUUUUACUUUUACUGCUCCAAGCAAUGGCUCAAAUCUCCAACGCCCACUCUAAUUUAAACGAGUUUUAAAUUCACAUUUUAUAUCCCAGGUUUCCAGGAUGGGAAUCUUCAUUAAUAACAGGCUAUUUAAUUUCCCAUCAAAGGUACGAGUCCCGUAGAGCUAAAACAAUUUAUCGUGAGAGGGGAUGUCCAAAAUGAUCCCAAAAGGCAUCCGUUAACCUUAACGCGUGAAGCCUCCAUCGUGCCGGGGGAAGCCGAUCAUAAUCAAUCCGCUGGGCUUUAAAAGUCACACCGGCGCCGGCCCGCAGUCCACGCAGCGUCACAUGGUUCCGCAGCAGGAAGUAUCCUGCUGCUGGAAACAAAUGAAGAGACAGUGAUUCUUGCUUGCUUGCUUUUACCGUGUAAAAGUACCGUGUUUUGCUCAUCAGGCAGAACAACAAACCUGAGGCAACAACUACACGCUAUAAAAUAAAUUACCUCCAUAUAAGUUUUUAGGGCUUCCGGUCAAGGGGAAAUGCGCGCCUUUCAAAUCUGCCUUUGGCCUGAAUAUCUCCAGUGCACAGAGAGCAUCUCUCACUCCAGCUCCUCUCGGCUGGAUACAAGACGGAGGUCGAGGGCGGACGCGCCGCGUGACUGAAAGCUGCAGAAUGCCAGUUUUGGUCUUUGUGCGCGGGCGGAUGGAGGUGAGGACUGACCUUGUUUUCACCUGUUUUUAAUGACCAGGCGUUCAUCCAGGAGGGCCGGCUGUGUGUUUGCUGCUUCCUCUGAUGUCAGGAAGGACAUUCGCUGAAUGGGGCAGGGUUAGGAUUAGGUAAGAAGCGUUAGGGGUUAGGGUUGGGGGUUAUGUAAGAAGCGUUACGUUUAUGUAAGAAGCGUUACGGUUAGGGGUUAGGGUAAGGUAAGAAGCGUUAGGGUUAGGGGUUAUGUAAGAAGGGUUAGGGUUAGGGGUUAUGUAAGAAGCGUUAGGGUUAGUGGUUAUGUAAGAAGCGUUAGGGUUAGGGGUUAUGUAAGAAGCGUUAGGGUUAGGUAAGAAGCGUUAGAGUUAGGGUUAGGGGUUAGGGUUAGGGUUAGUGUUGUAAUUAUUCUAACCGCAAUCUGUUUUAGUCAAAAUAACCUGGCACCUGUAUAAAUGUAUUGCCGAGCUUUGCUAACAAAGACAUUGCUUAAACAAGGACAUUUGAGAAAGGAGGGUAACCGGCCGACAAUUAGAGGUUAUUUUCAAGACCGUUGCCUUUGACAUCCUUCUGUAAACGUUGUCAAAAUCCAGAAUAGACCGAAACCUACAGCUCAGAAUCACACCUGUCUUCACCACUUAACCUUUUGAUGAAUAACUCCAACACAAAAAACCCGCCUGACAAGCGUUACUGCGUUGCCAUUCUAUCCAGUGAGAAAAGGCUAAAUCACAACUAAUCCCGUGUUCUUAAGAGCCUCACGACACCUCAAUUAUCCAUUACCCAUCAGCCCGUGUUUACACCGUCUCCCGCUGCACACGCACACCGCACGCUGACACCUGACGGUCAUCUGUGACUCACAAGGACAAAGGAGGAAGAUGAGUGUCCCGUGGAGAGGCGGGUGGGAGGGUUGAACUAAUGAGCGAGGCCAUUGUGGAGGAUAACAAAGCCGUCACGCUCGGCGAGAUCACAGCGAACUGCUCGUCCGCGCGCUCUCACGAAGGCCAUCCGCUGCUCGUCACACGCCCCCCGAGUGCUGACAGGUUCGGGGGCCCCUCGGCGUGUCGGCUCCCCUCCUCGGAGCGCAAAAACACCAAGGCUGCAAUUAAAGGAGGCAUUCAAAAAAAUGGCCGCACUCCGUCUGGACACAAUUAGAAAAAAAAAAAAAAAGAGCUUCUCUUCCUUUGUAAUUUUUCUUUUUGAAAGCAGAUGAUGCCGUGCUGCCAUGCUUUCAUGAACAAACCACACACACACAUGAUCAAACACAUUUUUGCUCAACGGGCUAACACACACACACACACACACACACACACACAUGCUGUUGUUGUUUUAACAGCAUCACAGGAACAACCGACGACAGUAAGAACGGGCGGUGAAAACACUUCAAGAAAAACGAGAGAUACCUGAAACAUGUGCAUGCAGCAUCUUCCACCUUCUUUCUGAUCAUCAAAAAAUACAAUCAGAAACAUUUUUUAAGUUUACCGUUUGUGUGAUUGUCAUAUAUGUGAGACACAAUGCGUGAAAAUGUGAAUUAUCCAUUUCAACCCUUUUUGACAUACCUGCAACAUCAAUGUGAACUGUUUCUUCUCCUCCAGGAGCGGCCUCCUUGUUAGUCAGGUCCAGAAUGAGGAAGAAGAAGCAAUGUGAGAUUAGUGCAUCAUCAGUAUUUCUGUAUAUCUUAGACAAUCAUUACCAUCGACAUCGGGAGAUACAUUUAGGGUAUAAGUGCGACGCUGUUUACUUCAAAAGGCAAAGACCCCAUAACAGUGUCGGCGAGCUUAUUAAUGCGACAUUGACGUCACGCGGAGGGAUAAAAUUAGCCAUUUUCCAGCUUAUAAAACCAACAUCCAAGUCGUAAACCCUGACCAGCUGAUGUGUUUUUCCAAAAAGUUGUGACAUACACAACUUGGGUUCCAGUAUAUUGGAAAUUUUGUGUAGGAAACAAACGUGUAUUGCUUGUGUCGGGCCAAAAGAACCAUUUCUAGAUCAAUUUAAAUAGCUCAUUUCUGGAAAACGUUUCGGUUCUGUUUCUGGUCCUCUUUGCCUCCAGUGCACAUCUCACGCGCACGCCGCUGCUCUGCGGCCGUGACACUGACGUCCGGGUGCUAUAAUUAGCAUUUCUUUUGGGGUGAACGGCAUUGCACUUGGCUUUGACGCAGCUGCAGGAGACGGCGGUGACAUUAAACGGGGACGCGAUGAGUUGAAAGCAAUUAAGUCCGAGGUCAAAGGUUAAGAUCAGAGGGCGUGUCGCUUAAAAUGCCACUUCGAAAGCACCUCUUUGCAAAGGCUGCAAGGACACGUUAGAAGGAUUGUUAAAGUCGCACUGACACAUCAGAGAAAAACAGCAUUAAAAGUCAGAUCAAUUUACAGUAAGUUGUUACAGUUGUAGUAGAUUUUCUCCUCUAGCUGAAGUCUGUAUUUAUUGAGUCCAGCAUGUCACUACAUUUCACCCCAGAGAAAUCUAAUAACCUGUAUAUAUAUAUAUAUAUAUAUAUAUAUAUAUAUAU